rnacentral:sRNA from 1 species
CCAUCAUGGAGUAUAUCCAUUUCCGGAGC